UGGGGAAUAUUGCACAAUGGGCGAAAGCCUGAUGCAGCAACGCCGCGUGGAGGAUGAAGGCCUUCGGGUUGUAAACUCUUGUCUUCUGGGACGAUAAUGACGGUACCAGAGGAGGAAGCCACGGCUAACUACGUGCCAGCAGCCGCGGUAAUACGUAGGUGGCAAGCGUUGUCCGGAUUUACUGGGCGUAAAGGAUGCGUAGGCGGAUAUUUAAGUGGGAUGUGAAAUACCCGGGCUCAACCUGGGUGCUGCAUUCCAAACUGGAUAUCUGGAGUGCGGGAGAGGAAAGUGGAAUUCCUAGUGUAGCGGUGAAAUGCGUAGAGAUUAGGAAGAACACCUGUGGCGAAGGCGACUUUCUGGACCGUAACUGACGCUGAGGCAUGAAAGCGUGGGGAGCAAACA
rnacentral:rRNA from 1 species